AGUGAACGCUGGCGGUAGGCCUAACACAUGCAAGUCGAACGAGUGGCGGACGGGUGAAGAAUACAUCGGCAUCUACGCUGUCGUGGGGGAUCACGGAGGGAAACUUACGCUAAUACCGCAAAAGAUUAAAUGCGCCGAGGUGGGAUUAGCUAGUUGGCGGGGUAAAGGCUCACCAAGGCGACGAUCCGUAGCUGGUCUGAGAGGAUGAUCAGCCACACUGGAACUGAGACACGGUCCAGACUCCUACGGGAGGCAGCAGUGGGGAAUAUUGGACAAUGGGCGCAAGCCGGAUCCAGCCAUGCCGCGUGUGUGAAGAAGGCCUUCGGGUUGUAAAGCCCUUUUGUUAGAGAAGCGGUACCCAAAGAAAAAGCACCGGCUAACUACGUGCCAGCAGCCGCGGUAAUUC
rnacentral:rRNA from 1 species